AGUAAUUCAUUGUGAUUUUAGUCUAGUUAGCUAUAUGUUUAAAAUUCAGUUCAGUUAUUAUAAUUAAGUGUCAAUAUAAUUCUCUUUCAUAACAAAUGUUUAAUAAAAGACAAGUUUUCUAUAUUGAAUUGGAAUUGAAAAGUUAACUGUUCUUGCCCGCUAUUAAGGUGCUCGCUAAUAUACAUUUCGCGUAUGUCGGAAAAUUCUAAACUUCCAAUGAAUGGCAUAAUACUUUUUUUGAAUAAAUGGUGUUCUUCCGUGUGAUUCUAAUGCUCCACUCCCGGGUGUGUCCACAUAUUAAUUUCGUACAAUUUUAAUAUCAAACUACGUACAUUAAUUAGGAAUUUUGAUGACCCAAUCAGAGUUACACAACAACUGGGUCUUGAACAGAUAGCCUGAGUGAGUUUUGGUUUAUCGAUGUCUGUCAGCGCAGAGUGUCUUCGUUAUUUUUGUGAAAAUUUUCGGAAAACUUCUAAAAGAAGAUGUUUUUCUCAGGGUUGAGAACGAUUGGAGAUUACGUUUUGUGCAUCCUUUAACCUGAUAUUCUGAUAAACGCAGUGUGAUUUACCAAAAACAAAUAAUAAUAAACACCUCGGAAAGCAAGAGUUUUCAUAUAAAAUAAUCGACAUCCAGGAUUCGAUGAGGCAACAACUUAAUAAAAUGGAAUCUACAGUAGCAGUCAAAGGUUCGGAAAUUGAAGCCGCAAAACCUAAAGAACAACAUGAAAAAAAUAAAAUCGAUUCACCGUCUCCGAAUAAUUCGAAAUUGGAAACGAUUCAUCAGGCCGCACAGCUAAGUAAAAUUAAUAACGGCGAUCAGCAGAAGCGUGUCUAUAAAAUUGUAUUAACUGGAGGUCCCUGUGGCGGUAAGACAACUGGUCAAUCGCGUAUGUGCACGUUUUUCGAGAAUCUGGGAUGGAAAGUGUUCCGGGUGCCUGAGACGGCUACCGUGCUUCUCGGUGGUGGUAUCAAAUUUUCCGAUCUCACAGAAAAAGAGGCCUACAAAUUUCAAGAGAAUCUAAUCCGAACUAUGAUUCAAAUUGAAAACACAUACUUUGAAUUGGGCAAGUCCAGUAAGCGAAAUUGCCUGAUUAUUUGUGAUCGAGGUGUAAUGGACGCAAGUGCGUAUAUAUCUAGAAAAAAAUGGGAGAGAAUGUUAGCCUCCAAUAAUUGGAAUCCUAUUGAGAUGCGUGAUAAUCGCUACAAUCAAAUAUUACAUUUGGUUUCGGCGGCCAACGGUGCCGAGGAAUUUUAUAGCACAGAAGAACAUGCCUGUCGCUCUGAAUGCGUAGAUGUAGCCCGGGAGCUUGAUUACAAAUCCGCUGCCGCCUGGGUUGGUCAUCCUUACUUUGAUGUGAUUGAUAAUUCAACAAAUUUCGAAACCAAAAUGAAUCGUAUGAUUGAGUCCGUUUGUCAGAAAGUGGGCAUUGAUAUAGGCGAUCGUUUGCAAGCAACUUCAAGAAAGUUGAAAUAUUUAGUUGCUUCAUUACCCACGGACUCUAAUUUUCCACCGUUUCAAGAUUUUGAUGUGGAACAUCACUAUUUACAAUCCUCAGGACCAAAAGUACAAGCGCGUUUGCGUAAACGUGGCCAAAAUAAUCAUUGGAGCUAUAUACACACUAUACGACGACCGGAUGUUCACGGUCAGUCGCGUAUAGAGGUGAAAACUCAGCUUACUCAGCGCGAUUACAUAAAUCUUUUGGCGCAACGUGACGAUGCCCAUUUUACCAUCUAUAAGAAACGACGUUGCUUCUUAGUCAAUAAUCAAUAUUUUCAAUUAGAUAUCUACAAGGAACCUAGUCAUCCAAGAUGCAAGGGUUUAAUAUUGCUGGAAACAUAUUCAUCUUUGUCGGGCGAUGCUUUAAAAAAUUGUUUGCCAAAAUUUUUGGAUAUUGUUAAAGAAGUCACAGGAGAUCCCCUCUAUUCCAUGUUUAAUCUUUCCUUGAAAGAAGAUUGGAGUAUAACAAAGAAAUUCUGUCAUUCGCUACAAUGUUAACAAGAUUGAAAAAUGAAAAGGUUCUAAUCCAAGGCUUAAACAAAGGUAUAUGCAAACGAAACGAUUCGAACAGGUGCGAAUAAGCAGGACUAAGCGCAUUUUGCUGAAAUCUUAGUCGAAACAAAAAGACUACAAGUUUCUUUUUUAAUUUUAGAAGUUUUUAAUAGGAUUUCAUUAUAACGGGAACAACUAGGUGAACGUAAAAAAUGAUUUUAAAAGAAACCAAACUUGAACUCGAAUGGAUUGUCUGCAGAGAGGAAGUAAAUUAAAUUUAAAGUGUCAUUUGCCAGAGACUUGUACGAAUAAUAAAAAUAAUAAAAAAAAAGAAGCAAUUUCACGAAUGGAUAUAUGAUAUAAUAGUCUCUAAAGCUUGCUGCGUAGUUGAAACACCCUUUAAAAGUUUAUUACAAUUAAAAAUGUAUAAAUAAACAAAAUUCGAUUUCCUAAACAAAAGCGUAAUAAUAAGCUAAAUAAUGGCAAUAAAGAACAACUAAUGCAUAAAGAAGGUAUAAAACAUAAAUAAUUUCAACCAAAAUCAUGCAUGAAUUUUCAGUUUAAUUAUUUUUAAAUAUUGAAAAAUCAAGGAUAUUAGGCGAACGUCUUCCCAAAAGUUACAGUGUCUCAAAAAGUGGUGCUAAGAUUACAUGUUAUUCAAUUUAAUACUCUAUAGUAUAUAUGCAACAGAAACGUGACAAGUUCUACUUAUUAUAUAUUUAAAUGUCUAUAAUUAAAUUAUUUAACAUAUUUUCAUUUAAUUACGUGUAACAAAGGCAAUUUAUGCGUAAUUUUAAUUUAAAAAAAUUUCACGUGGAAACCUUUGGCCAAUGACAGAUAGCCGUCUUCAUUGAAAUGUCCACUCACUGAAUAUGUAACACCCUAUAUGUUCGCCUUUCCGCUUAUGUUCAGACUAGUUUCUUUUCUAUUGCCGGUAAAAAGAAAAACAGACAGAUUAAAUAACUUUAUUUGGAUUUUUUCGAAAGUUUUUUUUUUUAAUUGAAAAUAAGAGGUUAAUAUUUUCAGUAAAAUUUGCCCUUAUCCUAAUCUUCAAUCUACAACGCUUAAAUGAAAAUGCUUUCAUUCAGAUUACGAAAACAAAAUCUUGAUUGAUUUUUUGAAAACUGUCCCUUUCUGAACAUUAGAUGAAGUGUUGAGUUUGUCUUAUCAGGGCUUACGAUCACCAGUUUACUC